CUAUAUCACGUUGAAACAACGAUUCUCAUACGCUCACCGAAGUUAAGCAACGUCGACCCUGGAAAAUACCUAGAUGGGUGACCGCUUGGGAAUACCAGGUACUGUAAG